GACGAACGCUGGCGGCGUGCCUAAUACAUGCAAGUCGAACGCUGAAGAGAGGAGCUUGCUCUUCUUGGCUGAGUUGCGAACGGGUGAGUAACGCGUAGGUAACCUGCCUUGUAGCGGGGGAUAACUAUUGGAAACGAUAGCUAAUACCGCAUAACAAUGGAUGACACAUGCCAUUUAUUUGAAAGGGGCAAUUGCUCCACUACAAGAUGGACCUGCGUUGUAUUAGCUAGUAGGUGAGGUAAUGGCUCACCUAGGCGACGAUACAUAGCCGACCUGAGAGGGUGAUCGGCCACACUGGGACUGAGACACGGCCCAGACUCCUACGGGAGGCAGCAGUAGGGAAUCUUCGGCAAUGGGGGCAACCCUGACCGAGCAACGCCGCGUGAGUGAAGAAGGUUUUCGGAUCGUAAAGCUCGGUUGUAAGUCAAGAACGGGUGUGAGAGUGGAAAGUUCACACUGUGACGGUAGCUUACCAGAAAGGGACGGCUAACUACGUG
rnacentral:rRNA from 1 species